rnacentral:lncRNA from 1 species
UUAGUAAUAAUUUAUGUCAAAAUUUGAGAGAAACCGGAAAAGACCACAAUUUUUAUGAUCCUGGCUCCUCGAUAAAGAACAUUAUUCUUUUGGUUUCUCUGCCCCUUGCGAGGAGCCGUUUUUUUAGAUGGCCAACGCUUUUUUUAUGGACGGUAACCGAAGCUGAAGCCAUACCAAAUGUGCCACUUGUUUCCUCCUGAAAGCUAAAGGCCUGAUUGUUUCGCCCAUCGACAGAGGUUGGUUUCAGGGGGGUCACAGCAGGCUCUUUUGCAGUGAACGAAUUUGCGAGCUCACCGUGCUCCACAAGUGAAAGGAGACAGGCACCGCGAGAGGGACACUUGACAAAGCCAGACACCAACUCAUGCGGCGUUGCGUACUUGUGUUAUCCUUUGCGUCACCAUGGCAGAGGGCCCAGCUAGAGCUAGUUGCUGCUUUGCCAUUGCCUUUCUCCUUCUGGGAGAAACUGGAGAAAAUUGCUUCUGAAGGUCGCCAAGACAGCAGGAGUUCAGAAGCAUCACAGGUCAUGGAGCACACAGUUUGAGAUAGAGCAAUGAACAUCCUCGUUGAUAAACAACGGCAGCCGACUGGUCAACCGGGACGGUAGCAGCAUUUAAUUCAACAACUUGCUAUAGUGAUACUGAUGCAUGUAGGAUGACUGCAAAGGCAUGCUACUAUCACUCAAAUUACAAGUUUCUUCUGAAUUCCAGGUCCAGCGACCGCGUUUUCCUCGCUUUGGGUACUACUUGUAUACACAGAUUAUCAGUGCCACAGAGAGAGCGAUAAUUGCCAGAACUGUGAAGAUGAGAGCCUGCAAGGAACGAUCAAA